GAGCAGAUCACCAAGCCUUUCUCUUGUGGAGCCUCUGGGUGGGUUCAAACUGCCAACCUUUUGGUUAGCAGCCGAGUGCUUAAUCAUUGCACCACCAGGGCUCAAUUUUGAGACCUUCUUGCAUAUAGUAGCCCACAGAAAAUGUUGAAUCGAAUUUUAUCUGGUCUUAAAGUCUUCCGUGAAUAAGGAGUUUGCAAUACAAUCUGUUCUUGUGAAGUCUAAAAGUAUCAAAAACAUCUUUUAUCUGUUAAGUUACAGUCUUUUUCCCCAUAAUUUCCCCCUGUCGAAAUUGUCCGAUCAUGGAGCAUUAAUGAGUAAAAUCAACAUUGAUAGGAUAAUAUUGAUAUUAAAAAUGGAUGAAGCAAUUCAAAAUGAACUAUCAGCAGCCCAGUAUGAGUUUAAGCUCCUGGACUACAUUUACCUCAUAGCAGUGGUUUUCCUCUUUUGCUUACCUUUGGAUCACCUGGGGAGUACUUAAAACACACCUACGCAUAGGUCCCACCACAGAGCAAGUGAAUCUAAACCUCUGGGCUCCGGUGAGUUUGGGCAUCAGAAUUUUGAAAAAAAAAAAAACUCCCCAGAUAAUCCUAAUGUGCAGUCAAGUUUGAGAACCACUGUUACAGAGAAAUGCACACUAAAUAUGGUUAUUGCCAGGCAAGGAGCUAGCUAGCUUCUCAGGCAGGAUCAUCCUGGGUGGCAUUGUUUUUAUGAAUUCAUCAAUCUUUGAUGGUCCAAAACCUGAAUCUAACCCUUCAUAGGAGUUAAUCAGAACCUAGGAAACUGAUAACAUGUUAACCAAACUUAAAAUUGUCUGAUAUAGAAAAGAGAAUGCGUAAACUAUGGAGGGAGCCCUGGUGGCACAGUGGUUAAGAGCUCAGCUGCUAUCCAGAAGGUUGGCAGUUCAAAUCCAUCAGCUGCUUCUCGGAAACCCUGUGGGGCAGUUCUACUCUGUCCUAUAGGGCUGCUGUUAGUUGGAAUCGACUCGACAACAAUGGUUUUUUAAACUAUGGGUACUUUUCAUAGGAAUAUCCAUUAUCUGUAAACCUUUUCUUCUUUUUUAGUUAUCUGGACAGCCAAAUUUAUUAUCAGAUCAUUGCUGUGGGAGACCGGACUCUGGGCAGAGAGAAGCUAUAGUCCUAGGAUAUUUUGCUUAAUUUCAGGAACAUCCAGCCUAUCGUAUCCUGACAUUUGAAAAGUCAGUAUUUUUCCACACACUAAUUUGUCUCAUGAAGGUGAUGUGCUUAACAACAUCAGCACGUGUGAAGCAGGGCUGGCAUAAUGCAUAAAUGUAAUUCCAGGCAUGUUGGCAACAAACCAAAAAAUUGUGCUUACUUUUGUCAUAGGUUGAAAUGGAAAAUGAUCAUCCCCUUUGGUGAGUUUUGAAGAGCUAACAGAUUGUCAGUAAUAUAAAACAGGAUGUAAUUUUGCAUUGAUAACAAUUUAGAUAAAAUAUAAAAGUUCUGGUGUUAGAAAGAACACACAUAUCUAAUUGGUCACUUUGAAAAGAGCAUACAGUGUUCAUAUUUCUGCAGCAUUCAAGUACAUAGUAGAAUGAUGGAAUGUGUUAUUGGUGAAAGUAACUUUAGGGAUUAUCUACUCAGUUAUUUUUACAGGAAACCGAAACAUGGAAGGGCAAAAUGUUUUCACUAUGGCCACGUGGCUUUUAAUGACUGAGACAGAUUAUUUCUUUAUACUUCCCCCCAUAUUUUACCUACAGUUGUCAAAUACUCACUAAAUUGAGCUCUCUGAGGUCAGGGAUUGUGACUCAUCAAUAUCCAUCCAACCAUUCAUCCAUCCAUUCACCAUCCGCCCGUCCAUCUAUCCAUUCAUCCAUCCAUCCAUCUGUCAAGAAUUCAUUAAACUUUAAAGCCUUCUAUGUACUAGUGUUGUACUAAAUGAUGCAGAUACAAGGGUAAAUGAGAUGAGGCAGCUGAUCUCAACAAGCUUGUGGUCUGCUAAGAGGCUGAGAGAAGUGUCAGUAAUUGAAAUACGGUGUAAUAAAUGUAGUAAAUAUUAGAGACACACACUGUUGUUGUUAGUUGCCAUCAAGUCAGUCUCGACUUGAUAUGUGCACAGUAAACUGCUCCACAGGGUUCUCAAGGCUGUGACCUUUCUGAAGCAGAUUGCCAGGUCUGUCUCCUGAGGCAUCUCUGGUUGGGUUUGAACUGCCAAUCUUUCAGUCAGUGGUUGAGCGCUUAACCGUUUGUGCCACCAAGGGACUCCAGAGACACACACUAAGGGACCAUAAAAAAGGAGGGAAUAAUUACCUCUACAGAGUAAGUCAGAGAAGUGUUUUGAGAAGAGAUGCUUGAGUUGCAUCAUGAAAAAAAGUCAGUUCCUCAGCUAGCAAGGUGUUGGCAAUUCAUUACAUGAGUAUUUCAAUGAUCAAGACUUAGUGACUUUUCAAUCAGUCUCUGAUGUUACUAUUAAAUAUACAUAAAUUGUUUCAGUGAAAAAUUUCCCCUAUAGUAUUUGCUCUGUGGACUCUUUGUAAAAAAAUAAAUUAAUUAACUUUUUUUGCUGAGCACGACAUUUCUUCAUCCCAGCCCUGCCUUAAGAUGGUAGCUUUGAUUUUCUAAAGCUUAUAUAUGUUUCAGAAGAACUAGGACAAAGCAGUAAAAUGAUCAUUUGUUUUCAGACUAAAAGAUAACUAUCCUUGCAGCUUUUCCUUACAGAAGAUUUCCAGUUACUAAAUGUUAAACCAGCCCCACUGCCAUUGAGUUGAUUCUGACUCAUAAGAUUUCCAAGGCUGUAAAUCUCUACAGAAGCAGACUGCCACAUCUUUCUCCUGCGGAGCAGCUGGUGAUUUCAAACCGCUGACGUUUCGGUUAGCAGUUGGUUGCUUUAACCAGUGUGCCACCAGGACUACUUAGUAAAUGUAAACAGAAUGAGAAAAACAGAAAAUCAUCACUAAAACACUGCAAUAAUAAUAGUUGCAGGCAAGACCCGCCAAGGGAUGCUAAAAUUAUUUGCUUGAAGUUUGAGAGGAAACAAGUAUAUUUGUAGUCUCAAAGUAUCUACCCCAAGAUAUUUAUUAAUUACAAAGUGAAAGAUACUACUUUACUGUGGAGAAGCCCAGCAGAUACCACAUUCACCAGGUGAUCAAGUUUAAUAUCAAUAGUAAUAAGAUGUAUUGACUUCAUGCACUUCCUAACAUGAUAUGCUUAAAAGGGUACAUCACUUCUAAGGGACAUUCUACAAAGUAUCUGACCAGUACUUUUCAAAAAGCAGUCCUUGGGUGGCACAAAUGGUUAAGUGCUUAACUAUUAGCCAAAAGGUUAGCAGUUCAAACCCACCCAGAGGUGCCUUGGAAAUAAGGCCCUGGUGAUCCGCUUCUGAAACGUCACAACCUUGAAAACCCUAUGGAGCUGCUGUACUCUGCACACAUGGGAUCUCUAGGAGCUGGAAUGGACUGAACAACAACUCUUCAAAAGUGUCAAGGUCAUGAAAGAUAGAUUGAGGACUGUCACAGGUUGGAGAUGACGAAGGGAUUUUAAAAUUAAAUGCAAAGUAGAAUAAUGAAUUCGAUUGUAGAAUCAAAAAAGAACAUUAGUGGAAAAACUGGUAAAAUCUGAAGAAAGACCGCAGUCUGUUUGAUAGUAUUGUACCAUGUUUAUUGCUUAGUUUUGAUAAUUGUGUUAGAGUUAUGCAACAUGCUAGCUUUAGGAGAACCGGAUGAAGGGUGAAGGAUACAUGGCAACUCUCUGUUCUCUUUUUGCAACUCUUGUGCGGUCUAAAACUGUUUCAAAAAAAAAAAAAAAAAUGUCUUUGCGUAUUAGGGAUGCUUCUAAGUGAUUUGGCAUUUGAAGACAAGUCUGUGAUGUUCAGAGUUGAUUCAAAUUGUUUCAUUAAUGAAAAUUUUAAAACAGAAAAAAAAUGGAUGCAUUUCUGUAAGAACUUCAUUCUAGAAUUUAAACAGUAUAGGAUCUUUUACUGAAACAAUCACCUUGAGUUGGAAAGAUGUUAGGAUUAGUAUUAAACUGCGUCUCCUGCCUCACCUGUGUUUAGAUAUUUACACUGCGAAUAGUAUACAAUACCAAAAAAAAAAAAAAAAAAA